rnacentral:tRNA from 1 species
CUUAGUUAAUGAGCUUGAAUAGCAAUUGUUUUGAAAACAAUAGAUAAAGAUUUAAUCUCUUUAUUAACUU